rnacentral:lncRNA from 1 species
AAAAUUUAAGUCCAUGGACAUUAUGGUUGGCCAAAUUCAAUAUGAAUCUAGAUAGUCAUUUGUACAAAUUUGUUUAGGAUGAUUUUUCUAAAAUAUAUAAAAUUGUACUAGUACCUUUUAGGUUAUAUAAAAAUAAAAAAAUGAUUUAGAGAAAAAAUAUAUCUUUUUUAUUAUUAAAUUUAAAAAAGUCUCAAAUGUAAAAAAUAAUCAAAUAAUUUGAAGAAUAAAUAAUUUAAAAUUUAUUAAAUUAAAAAAUUGGGAAAACUAAAAAAAAAAACUCAAGAAUAACGUAAAU